rnacentral:rRNA from 1 species
CAGUCGCGCGGGAAUACAGAGGGUGCGAGCGUUAAUCGGAUUUACUGGGCGUAAAGCGUGCGUAGGCGGCUUCUUAAGUCGGAUGUGAAAUCCCUGAGCUUAACUUAGGAAUUGCAUUCGAUACUGGGAAGCUAGAGUAUGGGAGAGGAUGGUAGAAUUCCAGGUGUAGCGGUGAAAUGCGUAGAGAUCUGGAGGAAUACCGAUGGCGAAGGCAGCCAUCUGGCCUAAUACUGACGCUGAGGUACGAAAGCAUGGGGAGCAAACAGGAUUAGAUACCCGCGUAGUCCCUGUCUCUUAUACA